UUAGGCCCGUUUGUCCGUUUUCUUCUCUUUUUCACUUUUCUCUCUCCUCUCCCUCCCUCCCUCCCUCUAUCUCUCUCUCUCUGCUCGACGCCUUUGACAUACCCAUCACCUGCACCCACACCCACAACCGUACGCUUGGGUCUCCCACCUCCAUUCUCUCUUGCUACUACCACCUUCCGCCACCUGCCGCUCGCUUCAAGCCCUCUUCGGCGCAAUUCCGACGAGGUCACUGGAGCUACCAGCUAGGCCCUCCAGGGUCGGUACCCUUAAAAACAUUGAGGCUGAUUGUGUAGUGGGGAAAGAUGAAAAGCCAGAGCAGUUAUGUGCCGCCCCCUUAUGUUCCUUUGGGACAGUCAGAUUCAUCAUCAGAGAUUGUUCUGGGCAAUGAAGAUAUUCCUGCACAUGGUCAUGCCAGCAACGGACCGUUGCAAUGGUCUUCUGGAAUCUGUGCAUGUUUCGAUGAUAUGCAGAGCUGUACGCUACUUUCUGCCUUGUGACCUUGAUUUAUCAGAAGCAAAAUUAUAAGGUUGUGUAGGUUUUUUUUGUCCUUGCUUUCUUUUUGGGAAGAAUGCAGAAUUUCUCGGCUCUGGGACUCUGAUAGGAUCAUGCAUGACCCAUUUUAUUUUGUGGGCUCUUUUCAAUUCUGUUUGUUGCUUGUUGACCGACGGCACUUUGUUGGCUUUACCUGGAUUCUUUAUCUCAUGCUAUGCUUGUGGAUACCGUAGGGCUCUACGGUCAAAGUAUAAUUUGCAGGAAGCGCCAUGCGGGGACUUUGUUACUCAUUUCUUCUGCCAUUUGUGUGCCAUCUGUCAAGAGUACCGGGAGAUCCGUGAAAGGUCUGGUGAUUUGGGAUCCCCUGAUCUGAAUUUGGCUGUAGUCACUGCUCCACCAGUGCAGAUAAUGGAAUCGGCUUCCAAGGAGUAGCGCCAUACUGUACCC